rnacentral:rRNA from 1 species
CAGCAGCCGCGGGAAUACGUAGGUGGCAAGCGUUGUCCGGAAUUAUUGGGCGUAAAGGGCUCGCAGGCGGUUUCUUAAGUCUGAUGUGAGAGCCCCCGGCUCAACCGGGGGGGGUCAUUGGAAACUGGGAAACUUGAGUGCAGAAGAGGAGAGUGGAAUUCCACGUGUAGCGGUGAAAUGCGUAGAGAUGUGGAGGAACACCAGUGGCGAAGGCGACUCUCUGGUCUGUAACUGACGCUGAGGAGCGAAAGCGUGGGGAGCGAACAGGAUUAGAUACCCCCGUAGUCCCUGUCUCUUAUAC